CCUACGGGCGGCAGCAGUGAGGAAUAUUGGUCAAUGGACGAGAGUCUGAACCAGCCAAGUAGCGUGAAGGAUGACUGCCCUAUGGGUUGUAAACUUCUUUUAUCAAGGACUAAAACGAGGCACGUGUGCCUUUUUGCAUGUACUUUAUGAAUACGGAUCGGCUAACUCCGUGCCAGCAGCCGCGGUAAUACGGAGGAUCCGAGCGUUAUCCGGAUUUAUUGGGUUUAAAGGGAGCGUAGAUGGGUUGUUAAGUCAGUUGUGAAAGUUUGCGGCUCAACCGUAAAAUUGCAAUUGUUACUGGGAAUCUUGAGUACAGUUGAGGUAGGCGGAAUACGUGGUGUAGCGGUGAAAUGCUUAGAUAUCACGAAGAACCCCGAUUGCGAAGGCAGCUUACUAAACUGUGACUGACAUUGAUGCUCGAAAGUGUGGGUAUCAAACAGGAUUAGAUACCCUUGUAGUC
rnacentral:rRNA from 1 species